rnacentral:rRNA from 1 species
UACGUAGGGUGCGAGCGUUGUCCGGAAUUAUUGGGCGUAAAGGGCUCGUAGGCGGCCAACUAAGUCAGACGUGAAAUCCCUCGGCUUAACCGGGGAACUGCGUCUGAUACUGGAUGGCUUGAGUUGGGAGAGGAUGCGGAAUUCCAGGUGUAGCGGUGAAAUGCGUAGAUAUCAGGAGGAACACCUGUGGUGUAGACAGCUUACUGGACCAUUUCUGACGCUGAGACACGAAAGCGUGGGUAGCAAACAGG